rnacentral:rRNA from 1 species
AUACGGAGGAUCCGAGCGUUAUCCGGAUUUAUUGGGUUUAAAGGGUGCGCAGGCGGCCAUUUAAGUCAGCGGUUAAAUCGUGGGGCUCAACCCCAUUCUGCCGUUGAUACUGGGUGGCUUGAUUGCGGUCGAGGUUGGCGGAAUUCGUUGUGUAGCGGUGAAAUGCAUAGAUAUGACGAAGAACACCGAUUGCGUAGGCAGCUGACCAGAACGCAAAGGACGCUCAUGCACGAAAGUGCGGGGAUCGAACAGGAUUAGAUGCCCUGGUAGUCCGCACAGUAAACGAUGAAUACUUGUUUUCGGCGAUAUAAUGUCGGAGGCAAAGCGAAAGCGAUAAGUAUUCCACCUGGGGAGUACGCCGGCACCGGUGAAACUCAAAGGAAUUGACGGGG